rnacentral:rRNA from 1 species
AGUCGAGCGGCCCGCAAGGGGAGCGGGAGACGGAUGAGUAACACGUGGCAAUCUACCGUGGCCUACGGAAUAGCUCCGGGAAACUGGAAUUAAUACCGUAUACGCCCUACGGGGGAAAGAUUUAUCGGGGUAUGAUGAGCCCGCGUUGGAUUAGCUAUUUGGUGGGGUAAAGGCCUACCAAGGCGACGAUCCAUAGCUGGUCUGACAGGAUGAUCAGCCACAUUGGGACUGAGACACGGCCCAACCCUCCUACGGGAGGUAACAGUGGGGAAUAUUGGACAAUGGGCGCAAGCCUGAUCUAUCCAUGCCGCGGGAGUGAUGAAUGUCUUAGGAUUGUAAAGCUCUUUCACCGGAGAAGAUAAUGACUGCAUCCCGAGAAGAAGCCCCGGCUAACUUCUUGCCAGCAGCCGCGGUAAUACGAACGGGGCUAGCGUUGUUCGGAAUUACUGGGUGUAAAGCCGCACGUAGGCGGAUAUUUAAGCUCUGGGGUGAAAUCCCAGAGCUCACCUCUGGAACUGCCUUUGAUACUGGGUAUCUUGAUUAUGCAACAGGCGAGUGGAAUUCCGAGUGUAAAGGUGAUAUUCCCAUAUAUUCCGAGGAACACCCAUGGCGAACGCCGCUCCUUGGUCCAUUUACUGACCCUAAGGUGCGAAACCGUGGUGUGAGCAAACAGGAUCACAUACCCUGCUUGUCUCUCGUUCCUAAACUAUGAUUGUUACUCGUCGGGCAGUAUACUGUUUUGGGGC